GACAGAUAACUGCCAUAGAUCCCCUCCCUCAUCCCUGCAUCAGCACCACCCAGAUAGGACUGGAUGUCAUGGAAAAAAGAUCCUUCAAGGUGCUAAGCACCUUGCUUGAGGUGUUGGACAACAUCGUUCGGCUGUUGGAGAUGCCGGAGAUGGGCAAGGCAGUGAACAGGACGGCGCUCGAACUCUUCCUCAAAGACCGGGAACAGUUCAAUGAGGAAGUAAGAGCUGCAGUCAGGAAGCAACGGGAGAAAAAGUAAUAUUGUCACAUUUUCAAUUGGCACCAAGUGGACUUAGGAAGGUUCAUCGGCACAAGGUGUAGUCAAAGACGUGUCUGCUUUCAUCAGAUGUUUUCAUAUUUCUUUUCUUUUAAAUAAUGUCCGACACCUUCGUUCUUUCAAAUACAUAAGCCUCACAGAAUUAAACUGGAGUGGGAAUACAUAUAGUUCUGAAAUGGAUGUUAACCAUGCCUAUGACCAUUACAAAUUUGCUCGUGAACUCUUUUAUAAGUUUGUAAAGAUGGCAGUACUACAGAGUUAAAUAAGUUGUACCUAUUGUUGUAUAAUGUUUUGAAGUUAGUGUUCAUGUGUCAGUUUGUGCUGUUAGCAUGUGUGUGUGCGUGUGUGUUUUCACUUAAUUGAUGUGGCUGCUUCAUGUAUUCCAGUGGUAAGCAAGGCUACACCAAAAAAGGUUUAUUCAAUGUUUAUUACAAAACUUGAUUAUAUACAAUAUUAAAAUAUCCUCUCUGCAACUCCAGACAAUUAAUAAGGGUAGAGCUAAUACUAAGUACGCCAUGUAGUCUAGUUGUAGCAGGUCACAUCUACAGCAACACACACACCCUCCGCUGUACAAUAUUGCAGAAAUCCCUUAACGACACACCCAGUUACACUUUACAAAGUCUAUUUAACUUCGUAUUUUUAUUGGAACAUAAAGAGGUGAAUAAGGAGGUUGGUAACAAUUGGUAAUAUUUUAAGGUAUUUGAUAAAGCUUAUCAAAAUCA